rnacentral:rRNA from 1 species
UACGUAGGGGGCGAGCGUUGUCCGGAUUUAUUGGCGUAAAGAGCUCGUAGGCGGUUUGGCAAGUCGGGUGUGAAAACUCCGGGCUCAACUCGGAGACGCCACUCGAUACUGCCAUGACUUGAGUCCGGUAGGGGAGUGCGGAAUUCCUGGUGUAGCGGUGAAAUGCGCAGAUAUCAGGAGGAACACCAAUGGCGAAGGCAGCUCGCUGGAACGGUACUGACGCUGAGGCGCGAAAGCGUGGGGAGCGAACAGG